AGUGAACGCUGGCGGCAGGCCUAACACAUGCAAGUCGAACGGCAGCACAAGAGAGCUUGCUCUCUGGGUGGCGAGUGGCGGACGGGUGAGGAAUGCAUCGGAAUCUGCCCAUUUGUGGGGGAUAACCUCGGGAAACCGGGACUAAUACCGCAUACGACCUACGGGUGAAAGCAGGGGAUCUUCGGACCUUGCGCAGAUGGAUGAGCCGAUGCCGGAUUAGCUAGUUGGAGGGGUAAAGGCCCACCAAGGCGACGAUCCGUAGCUGGUCUGAGAGGAUGAUCAGCCACACUGGGACUGAGACACGGCCCAGACUCCUACGGGAGGCAGCAGUGGGGAAUAUUGGACAAUGGGCGCAAGCCUGAUCCAGCCAUGCCGCGUGUGUGAAGAAGGCCUUCGGGUUGUAAAGCACUUUUGUUGGGAAAGAAAAGCAGCCGGUUAAUACCCGGUUGUCAUGACGGUACCCAAGGAAUAAGCACCGGCUAACUUCGUG
rnacentral:rRNA from 1 species